rnacentral:rRNA from 1 species
UGGGGAAUAUUGCACAAUGGGCGCAAGCCUGAUGCAGCCAUGCCGCGUGUGUGAAGAAGGCCUUCGGGUUGUAAAGCACUUUCAGCGGGGAGGAAGGCGAUAAGGUUAAUAACCUCAUCGAUUGACGUUACCCGCAGAAGGAGCACCGGCUAACUCCGUGCCAGCAGCCGCGGUAAUACGGAGGGUGCAAGCGUUAAUCGGAAUUACUGGGCGUAAAGCGCACGCAGGCGGUCUGUCAAGUCGGAUGUGAAAUCCCCGGGCUCAACCUGGGAACUGCAUUCGAAACUGGCAGGCUAGAGUCUUGUAGAGGGGGGUAGAAUUCCAGGUGUAGCGGUGAAAUGCGUAGAGAUCUGGAGGAAUACCGGUGGCGAAGGCGGCCCCCUGGACAAAGACUGACGCUCAGGUGCGAAAGCGUGGGGAGCAAACAGG